ensembl:miRNA dre-let-7h microRNA let7h
GAGUUGGCUGUGUUGUGGUGAGGUAGUAAGUUGUGUUGUUGUUGGGGAUCAGUAUAGUAUGGCCCUUGAAGGAGAUAACUAUACAAUUUACUGCCUUCCAUAAUGCAGACUCUC